GUGAAUCAUCAAAUUUUUGAACGCAAAUUGCACUUUCUGGUAUUCCGGAAAGUAUGCCUGUUUGAGGGUCGGUUAAAUAAAAAUCGGUGUUGUUGCUGCCUUUCGUGGUGAUGCGGCGGAAUUGGGUUGUCUUAUCUUCGGUUAAGUGACUUAAAAUUUUUGCAUGAUUUUCGAAUGUAUUUAUAUCGCUUACGUAAGUUUGUGAUAUCGAAUGCUGAUUAGGUUUGGUAAUUCGGAUGAUUCGCGCCUAUAAUUUUUCAUUAAAUGACUGUAAAUCA
rnacentral:misc_RNA from 1 species